ensembl:lncRNA
GAGAGAGAGAGAGAGAGAGAGAGAGAGAGAGAGAGAGAGAGAGAGAGAGAUUUGUCACCUGUCUUUGUGUGACUGGAGGAGGUCUCUCGCUCUCUCACUCUCUCUUUCUAUCUCCAUGGAGCUGUGUCGUCUCCCAGGGACUACAUGAAAUGUGAUGACUAGGGAGGACUUUGGUUCCCAGUAUGAGAUGGAAACAGGGUUACACGGGGAUAGAAACUGGUACACUGAGGAUUAGGAUUCCCAGGAAGAUGUUUAAAACUCUUGUUCUGGGCUAAAUGAUGGUGACAGUGGGUCACUCACUCACUCACUCAGACAGGUCCUCAGAUCCAUGAUCAUUACAUUCGUCACACCCAUUUCCAGGCGUGACUGGCCUAGAUUGAUGAGUGACUGGCCUAGAUGGAUGAAAAUGGACGUGGAACACUUACCAUUUUAAGACUUUCCUCUGCUUCUACCCAAGCAAGGUUUUCACCCAAAAGUUCGGGUAUAAGGCACACCUGUUAAUUGAAAUACAUUCCAGGUGACUUUCUCAUGAAGCUGGUUAAGAGAAUGCCAAGAAUGUGCAAAGGUGUCAUCAAGGCAAAGGGUGUCUACUUUGAAGAAUCUAAAAUCUAAAUGUAUAUUUUGAUUUGUUUCACAGUUUUUUGGUUACGACAUGAUUCCAUGUGUUAUUUCAUUGUUUUGAUGUCUUCACUAUUAUUCUACAAUGUAGAAAAUAGUUAGAAUAAAGAAAAACCCUUGAAUGAGUCGCUGUGUCCAAACAUUUGACUGGUACUGUACAUUUUCUAUAUGUUUUAUGUGGAAUGAAGAACUGAUUACUUUCUAUAGGUUGUAUCUCUAUGGCGCUCACUGUGCUGCUUCCAGACCUUUCUUUAGCUCAAGGCCUUUGCUUUGACUCCACGGCAACCAGCGCCAGACACGUAGGUAGCUGGCUGGAAAACACACAGAGUCAGAGCAGCUCAACGUCACACAUACACCCACACACACACGUACAUGGACGCGUGUAUAUGCAAUAAACAUUAUAUUACCAAUGUAUAACAGUAUGUGUGGACAAAAACAUGUCACAUGUCAUGUCACGCACAAAGUCAUGUGACAUGUUAAUGUCACAUGCUAUGUUUACACUGUGUCUGUAUCUGUGUGGGUUGAGGAGGAAGUUAUUUGUGACUUUGUUCCUGUCGUUGUCAUGCCCUUGUUGUCAUGCCCCACUGGCCGCCACUGGCCGCCACUGAGCUGGAGCGGGAUAGAGCUGGGGACAGGGAGACAGGGGAUCAGAGCUGAGGCAACAACAGACCUCGGGCACUCUGUUCCAGACUUAUCAGUCUCAUUACUCACAAUGUCGUGCGCGUGCAUCAUCCAAUAGAUAGCAACAGCAAACAUGCCUAAACUAAUACAGUCAAACAAGACGAAGAUGAAGAGAGAGAGAGAGACUGAGGGAGAUGAUCAUUUGGGCAAAAGACUGUCCUCUUCUUGACUCCUCCGCCCGCUUACCUCUGUGAACCGGAAACCGAUAACUGGGGGGUGUCAAAUCAUUAGUAGGCGUAUGAAGGAGGCUGCUUCUCUCCCUGAUUACCAGAAAAUGCUCAAGAAUGUCCUUGUGGCAGGAAGUGUGGAACUGUUUUAUAAUUUGCCACAUCCCCUUUGAAUCAGCUGUUGUUUUCUAGAAGAAGAAAAGCAAUUACACAUUUAAAAACAAUUUGCUACUUAUCCUCUUAUCUGAAAAAUGUCUUGCACAACUAGCCAUUAUUACAUUUUUGAUGAAUCUACACAUUUAUAAAUGUAAUUUGCCUGAUGACGCUCGAGCGAAAGAGUGCCUCAUUUCAUGCAAGCACAUUUGUUUCCACAUUUCCUCUCCUCCCCUCCCAUCUUCUCCCCGAUUACCUUUGAACUUGUUCAAAAGAGGCGGGGAGAGAACGGAGGACGGAGGAGUUAGCUAAACCAAUAGAGAAUCUCCCUGAGGGGGAGACUGAGAACGUGAUUGAGUGAAAAGGAGAGUGGGAGAACCGACAACAGGGAGGGAAAGAGAGAUGCACAGAAAACAGAGAGAUAAGGAGCCAGGCUUGACAAACAGAGUGAAGAGGGGAGGCUUUAAAAGAGAGGGAUUCCAAAAUGAUGGCCGUCUUCUCCAUUUUACUGGCUAGAUCCCAACUUUGUGUACCUUGACCUCGUCUUUAUGGCCUAUUAUUGUGUCCUUGACCCAUUGUACAGUGGGGAUGUUUAAGCACUGGAAGUGAAACCAGGUCACAAAAUAGUAGCAGUGCAGUGGGCUGACACUUUGGACUGCACUGUGACCUCCUAAGCCAGAGGAACCAUUCAUGCCCGUUUGUUAGUGUCGACCAUUUUCUGGAACUUACUAUGGCAAAACAAACCAUUUGCUUCCACUGUGUUCCCAAUGUGUUCACAGUUUAGUCCUUAGCUAUGAUAAAGUAAUGGAAAGUUUUUGAACAGAGAAACUCUGGAGAGAGAGAGAGAGAGAGAGAGAGAGAGAGAGAGAGGGAGAUAAGGAGAGAGGGAAUGGAAAAAGUGGUAGGCUGGUAUUUGCAUCUGUUUGUGGCUUGUGAUAAUUUUAAACCUUUAAAUGAUUCAUAGUUGUCAGUGUUUGAGGUGGUCGCUUGAUACACAACCUCAAAUGGGUGGGGAUGAUGCUACAUCUCAGGGGUCUAAGCAGUAGAGCAGAUGUCACAACAAAGGUGAUAACUAAAAGGAGAUGUGUGCCGCCUGCCUGACGAAGAGCAGCUUGGGUCGGAACAGACCGUGCCACUGUACUCGUCUGCUGCUGUGUUUGAUAUAACCAUUAGGGAUCUGUUUCUCCUAAACACUUUGUUUUUACACAGUCUUACACUGCAACAGAUUCCUUCUACUUUGCGAAGACCAGGUGGGGACCUUUUCAAUGACGACAUGAGAGUUUUGUCUAGAAAGGAACCAGUGUGACAGACACAGAGAGGCUGACAUGUUGACUAUUUCGGUAGCCGUCUCUAGUGUUUGUUUCCUGUCUCUAGUGUUUGGUGGUGUUAGUGUGUAGAAGGCCUUCAGACGUGUUCUGUUACUGUCAAAGGGUGCAAAGGUAACCUCAUCUUAUUCAC